CAAUCACAUGUGCCCAAGAAAUUAGCAUCUGUUAAAAGGUUCCUUGUGCAGGAAUACUUUCAACACGUUGUAAAAUUGAAAUUUACUGGUGAUUUUAUACUCUGAAUGCACUGUAAAUCUCUGGAAUAAUAGAAUGAAGGAAAAAUAUUUUCUAGGGCCAAAGAACUUAAAAAGGUUUUUCCAGAAGCAAGCCAAAUGCAUGCUUAUAUUUGAUUUACAGACAGAUAAGGAAAACUGUCAAAGAAUCCUAAAGCAAUUUGCAAACCAAACACAUGAAAAUUUAAUCCCUUCCACUGAAGUGUAACUACUUGGAAUGUGCUGAUUUAUGGUAAUGUAGCAGAAGUUAUGAAGACUGCAACUGUCUAACUGGAAUUGGAGAGUAAACUGAUUUACUCAAAAUAUAAUUUAACCAACACACUGGAAUUAACAACUCUGUACUUAUUAAAAGUGCCACAAGAGCCUUGAUUACUAUAGUUUAUGAGAAUAUUAAUUUUAUACUUCAUAUGAAAGGUUGAAAUUCUAGCUAAACUGCUUCCAAUUUUUCUUUGAGGAUGUUGUUUUCCUAAAUUAUAACUGUGCCAUUAAAUUAAUUAAUUAAAGUUAUCAUUACUAUCAUUAUUUUAUAGACAUUGCAGACUAAUGAAGUAAAAUAUUACUGAGAUUAGCUCUGUUGGUUAGAGCAUGGUGCUGAUAAUACCAAGGUUGGGGGUUUUAUCCCUCUGUGGGCCAUUCACUUAAGAGUUGGACUUGAUGAUCCGUGUGGGUCACUUGCAACCCAGAAUGAUCUGUGAAAUCCAUGAAACAGCAAAAUCAAAACCAAAAAGUUUUAACAUGUUCUUAUAAUGUUUUUCAUCCUAUCCAGACCUGUAAAUA
rnacentral:lncRNA from 1 species